UACAUUCCUGGAAUGUUGUUAGGGUUGUGUCUGAGUUUGGGGAACCGACUAUACUAAUAAACAAUUUCUAAGCUGUUUUAUAAUAAUUUUGUGAGUUUAUUAAUAAUAUUUUUUAUUUAAAACUAAAAUUUGUUAAUAAUGCUUAGUAAUGCAUAUAUUUUGUAUUUUUAGCUUUCCAGAAGAUCCUGCGAAGAAGACAUGAAGUAUAGAUCAGAUUUGUUAAUAGAGGAGUAUGUUCAAAACACUUUUUAGAAAAAGAUAUUGACAGAACUUCACUUUCAUCUAUUCGUUUGAGAGACUGUGCUGUUCCAAUAGCUUAUGUCACACAGAAUCAGCUGAGAGAAGUGGUCUACAAAAAACCAGAAAGGAAACGGAAUAUGUGGCUACGAAAAGCAAAAGAAAGGUUUACAAAGCAAAUGUGACACAUUUUUUUAUAAUAUUUAGGAAUGUCAGCAAAUUACAUUAAAAAAUGUAUGUAAAGAUUUUUUGCAAUAAAUAUAUUUAUAUUUA